UCAUUGUUCAUAAAAAGCUGAUUGGCUGGUGGCUAGGCAGGAUUUCUGGGCAGAGAGAACACUGAGGAGAAGAAGGGCAGAGUCUGAGGAGACGCCAUGAGAGGCAGCGUGAGCAGGUUGGGAAGUGCGCACAUGAGACUCUCAGCUACUGGCAAGUCCCCCACCCCUCUGUGAAUCUGUAACCUGCUCCCCGGUUUUUUCCACCAGGAUGCAAGGGAAGAAAUGCUAAAUCCCAGACCAGACAGACACUGUUGAAGUUGUGCUCAUCUGUAGCCCUCUCCGUUAGGGUCCGAAAGAAGCCGCCAAGAAAGACCAUCAGUCACGAUCCCUUCUGCUACAGGGAGAGACAGACACCGUACAGAGAACCCAUCUGAGUCUAUAAACAGUCUCUCCAGACGUCUGGAUUCCAGGAGACUGACAGAUGCCUUUUUCCUUCAGACUUCUGGGACAUCAAAGGGCUGCUGGUGGCAAUACAUCUUCCUCCUGUAUAAUGGGUAUGUCUUAACUUAACAUGCCCCUCCUCCGCAGACCCUCAGAAUGGUCAUCACCCAGGAAGUUCCUACCUUCCCCCUGAUGCCCAGGAGUCAACGACAGCUUGACUAUAUGACACAUACUUCUGCCUUCCUUUAAGACCUGUAAGAAGCCGUUCCCCACUCUGCUAUGGGAUCCUGAACUCUCAUCAGAGCCCCGCCCAUGUUGCUGUCUGACCACAACAUUAAUAACUCUACUAAUAAACCUCUUACCCCAAAGAGCAAUUGGUCUUGGUACCCCACUUAUACCCCAGACCGUUCACCCUUAGACUGCUGGACACUAUGAUGGUAAAUUCUUUCCCCUGGAGUUUCCACAUUUUCCUUAACGUUUGGAUGGCUCUCCUCACUCCCAGAAUCUCUGGAUCUUAUGUUGAGAGGAAGGGGUCUCCCUUGCAGUGCAAAAUUGGCCCAAAUAAAAUGUGCCAUCUUGUCAUCGCUACAGCCAUCUCCAGGUCAUAUCUUUUUCCUUGCUCAGCCCUGAAAUCCAUUUCACAGCAGAGGACUGCAGACAACCUAUCCUAAGUAGAAGAGAUG